rnacentral:tRNA from 1 species
GCGAGUAUAGUCUAGCCUGGUAGGACGCUGCCUUGCCAAGGCAGCAACCCGGGUUCAAAUCCCGGUGCUCGCA